rnacentral:rRNA from 1 species
UGGGUAACUGGGUUGGGGGGAAGUGGCGAAAGGGGCAGUAAGGCGUGGGUAACCUACCCCGGGGACGGGCAUAGCCGUCCUAACGGACGGGUAAUUCCCGGCGAUCUGGCCUGGGGGCAUCCUCGGACCAGGAGAUGAGUUUCGCCUCGGGAGGGGCUCACGUAGUAUUAGCUAGUUGGCGGGGUAACGGCCCACCAAGGCUCAGAUGCUUAGCGGGUGUGAGAGCACGNCCCGCGCCACUGGCACUGAGACACUGGCCAGACUCCUACGGGAGGCUGCAGUCGAGGAUCUUCGGCAAUGGGCGCAAGCCUGACCGAGCGACGCCGCGUGGGCGACGAAGGCCUUCGGGUUGUAAAGCCCUGUCGGGGGGGGGAAAGGGCAACUUGAUCCCCCCCAGGAGGAAGCACGGGCUAAGUUCGUGCCAGCAGCCACGGUAAGACGAACCGUGCGA